rnacentral:rRNA from 1 species
GAAGAANCGUGGAUAACACCUGGAAACAGAUGCUAAUACCGGAUAACAACAGAUGAUGCCUAUCAACUGUUUAAAAGAUGGUUCUGCUAUCACUCUUGGAUGGACCUGCGGUGCAUUAGCUAGUUGGUAGGGUAACGGCCUACCAAGGCGAUGAUGCAUAGCCGAGUUGAGAGACUGAUCGGCCACAUUGGGACUGAGACACGGCCCAAACUCCUACGGGAGGCAGCAGUU